GACGAACGCUGGCGGCGUGCUUAACACAUGCAAGUCGAACGCUGAAGCUUGGUGCUUGCCCUGGGUGGAUGAGUGGCGAACGGGUGAGUAAUACGUGAGUAACCUGCCCUUGACUCUGGGAUAAGCCUGGGAGACUGGGUCUAAUACUGGAUACGACAUGUCACCGCAUGGUGGUGUGUUGAAAGGGUUUUACUGGUUUUGGAUGGGCUCACGGCCUAUCAGCUUGUUGGUGGGGUAAUGGCUCACCAAGGCGACGACGGGUAGCCGGCCUGAGAGGGUGACCGGCCACACUGGGACUGAGACACGGCCCAGACUCCUACGGGAGGCAGCAGUGGGGAAUAUUGCACAAUGGGCGGAAGCCUGAUGCAGCGACGCCGCGUGAGGGAUGACGGCCUUCGGGUUGUAAACCUCUUUCAGCACGGAAGAAGCGAAAGUGACGGUACGUGCAGAAGAAGCGCCGGCUAACUACGUG
rnacentral:rRNA from 1 species